GGUUUUUGGGUGGGGGGUCUUACCAUGCAGUCGAACGAUGAAGGAGGAGCUUGCUCCUCCGGAUUAGUGGCGAACGGGUGAGUAAUACGUGAGCAAUGUGCCCUUGACUCUGGGAUAAGCGCUGGAAACGGCGUCUAAUACCGGAUACGACCCUCGGAGGCAUCUCCUGAUGGUGGAAAGAACUUCGGUCAAGGAUCAGCUCACGGCCUAUCAGCUAGUUGGUGAGGUAACGGCUCACCAAGGCGACGACGGGUAGCCGGCCUGAGAGGGUGACCGGCCACACUGGGACUGAGACACGGCCCAGACUCCUACGGGAGGCAGCAGUGGGGAAUAUUGCACAAUGGGCGCAAGCCUGAUGCAGCAACGCCGCGUGAGGGACGAAGGCCUUCGGGUUGUAAACCUCUUUUAGCAGGGAAGAAGCGAAAGUGACGGUACCUGCAGAAAAAGCACCGGCUAACUACGUGCCAGCAGCCGCGGUAAUACGUAGGGUGCAAGCGUUGUCCGGAAUUAUUGGGCGUAAAGAGCUCGUAGGCGGUUUGUCGCGUCUGCUGUGAAAACCCGAGGCUCAACCUCGGGCUUGCAGUGGGUACGGGCAGACUAGAGUGCGGUAGGGGAGAUUGGAAUUCCUGGUGUAGCGGUGGAAUGCGCAGAUAUCAGGAGGAACACCGAUGGCGAAGGCAGAUCUCUGGGCCGUAACUGACGCUGAGGAGCGAAAGCAUGGGGAGCAAACAGGCUUAGAUACCCUGGUAGUCCAUGCCGUAAACGUUGGGAACUAGAUGUGGGGACCAUUCCACGGUCUC
rnacentral:rRNA from 1 species